AAUGGGCGAAAGCCUGACGCAGCAACGCCGCGUGCGGGAUGAAGGCCCUCGGGUCGUAAACCGCUUUCAGCAGGGAUGAAAAUGACAGUACCUGCAGAAGAAGCCCCGGCUAAAUACGUGCCAGCAGCCGCGGUAAUACGUAUGGGGCAAGCGUUAUCCGGAUUUAUUGGGCGUAAAGCGCGCGUAGGCGGCUUGUUAAGUCAGGUGUGAAAUCCGGGGGCUCAACCCGCGGCUUGCAUCUGAAACUGGCAGGCUUGAGUCUGGUAGAGGAAAGUGGAAUUCCUGGUGUAGCGGUGAAAUGCGCAGAUAUCAGGAGGAACACCAGUGGCGAAGGCGGCUUUCUGGGCCACGACUGACGCUGAGGCGCGAAAGCUAGGGGAGCGAA
rnacentral:rRNA from 1 species